rnacentral:rRNA from 1 species
UAGAGUUUGAUCCUGGCUCAGAACGAACGCUGGCGGCAGGCCUAACACAUGCAAGUCGAGCGGUAGAGAGAAGCUUGCUUCUCUUGAGAGCGGCGGACGGGUGAGUAAUGCCUAGGAAUCUGCCUGGUAGUGGGGGAUAACGUCCGGAAACGGACGCUAAUACCGCAUACGUCCUACGGGAGAAAGCAGGGGACCUUCGGGCCUUGCGCUAUCAGAUGAGCCUAGGUCGGAUUAGCUAGUUGGUGAGGUAAUGGCUCACCAAGGCGACGAUCCGUAACUGGUCUGAGAGGAUGAUCAGUCACACUGGAACUGAGACACGGUCCAGACUCCUACGGGAGGCAGCAGUGGGGAAUAUUGGACAAUGGGCGAAAGCCUGAUCCAGCCAUGCCGCGUGUGUGAAGAAGGUCUUCGGAUUGUAAAGCACUUUAAGUUGGGAGGAAGGGCAGUUGCCUAAUACGUAACUGUUUUGACGUUACCGACAGAAUAAGCACCGGCUAACUCUGUGCCAGCAGCCGCGGUAAUACAGAGGGUGCAAGCGUUAAUCGGAAUUACUGGGCGUAAAGCGUGCGCAGGCGGUUGUGUAAGUCAGAUGUGAAAUCCCCGGGCUCAACCUGGGAAUUGCAUUUGAGACUGCACGGCUAGAGUGUGUCAGAGGGGGGUAGAAUUCCACGUGUAGCAGUGAAAUGCGUAGAUAUGUGGAGGAAUACCGAUGGCGAAGGCAGCCCCCUGGGAUAACACUGACGCUCAUGCACGAAAGCGUGGGGAGCAAACAGGAUUAGAUACCCUGGUAGUCCACGCCCUAAACGAUGUCUACUAGUUGUCGGGUCUUAAUUGACUUGGUAACGCAGCUAACGCGUGAAGUAGACCGCCUGGGGAGUACGGUCGCAAGAUUAAGACUCAAAGGAAUUGACGGGGACCCGCACAAGCGGUGGAUGAUGUGGAUUAAUUCGAAGCAACGCGCAGAACCUUACCACCUUUUGACAUGCCUGGACCGCCACAGAGAUGUGGUUUUCCCUUCGGGGACUGGGACACAGGUGCUGCAUGGCUGUCGUCAGCUCGUGUCGUGAGAUGUUGGGUUAAGUCCCGCAACGAGCGCAACCCUCGCGAUUAGUUGCCAUCAGGUUUGGCUGGGCACUCUAAUCGUACUGCCGGAGUUAAUCCGGAGGAAGGCGGGGAUGACGUCAAGUCCUCAUGGCCCUUACAAGGUGGGCUACACACGUGCUACAAUGGCGACUACAGAGGGCUGCAAUCCCGCGAGGGGGAGCCAAUCCCUAAAAGUCGUCUCAGUUCGGAUUGUUCUCUGCAACUCGAGAGCAUGAAGUUGGAAUCGCUAGUAAUCGCGGAUCAGCAUGCCGCGGUGAAUACGUUCCCGGGCCUUGUACACACCGCCCGUCACACCAUGGGAGUUGGCUUUACCCGAAGGCGCUGCGCUAACCGCAAGGAGGCAGGCGACCACGGUAGGGUCAGCGACUGGGGUGAAGUCGUAACAAGGUAACCA